AUUGAACGCUGGCGGCAGGCUUAACACAUGCAAGUCGAGCGGAGAGAGGUAGCUUGCUACUGAUCUUAGCGGCGGACGGGUGAGUAAUGCUUAGGAAUCUGCCUAUUAGUAGGGGACAACAUUUCGAAAGGAAUGCUAAUACCGCAUACGUCCUACGGGAGAAAGCAGGGGAUCUUCGGACCUUGCGCUAAUAGAUGAGCCUAAGUCGGAUUAGCUAGUUGGUGGGGUAAAGGCCUACCAAGGCGACGAUCUGUAGCGGGUCUGAGAGGAUGAUCCGCCACACUGGGACUGAGACACGGCCCAGACUCCUACGGGAGGCAGCAGUGGGGAAUAUUGGACAAUGGGCGGAAGCCUGAUCCAGCCAUGCCGCGUGUGUGAAGAAGGCCUUAUGGUUGUAAAGCACUUUAAGCGAGGAGGAGGCUACUUUAGUUAAUACCUAGAGAUAGUGGACGUUACUCACAGAAUAAGCACCGGCUAACUCUGUGCCAGCAGCCGCCGUAA
rnacentral:rRNA from 1 species